rnacentral:rRNA from 1 species
AGUGAACGCUGGCGGUAGGCCUAACACAUGCAAGUCGAACGGCAGCACAGUAAGAGCUUGCUCUUACGGGUGGCGAGUGGCGGACGGGUGAGGAAUACAUCGGAAUCUACUUUUUCGUGGGGGAUAACGUAGGGAAACUUACGCUAAUACCGCAUACGACCUACGGGUGAAAGCAGGGGAUCUUCGGACCUUGCGCGAUUGAAUGAGCCGAUGUCGGAUUAGCUAGUUGGCGGGGUAAAGGCCCACCAAGGCGACGAUCCGUAGCUGGUCUGAGAGGAUGAGCAGCCACACUGGAACUGAGACACGGUCCAGACUCCUACGGGAGGCAGCAGUGGGGAAUAUUGGACAAUGGGCGCAAGCCUGAUCCAGCCAUGCCGCGUGGGUGAAGAAGGCCUUCGGGUUGUAAAGCCCUUUUGUUGGGAAAGAAAAGCAGCAGGUUAAUACCCCGCUGUUCUGACGGUACCCAAAGAAUAAGCACCGGCUAACUUCGUG